rnacentral:rRNA from 1 species
AUUGAACGCUGGCGGCAGGCCUAACACAUGCAAGUCGAGCGAGCGGCGGACGGGUGAGUAAGGUCUGGGAAACUGCCUGAAGGAGGGGGAUAACUACUGGAAACGGUAGCUAAUACCGCAUACCAUCAGAUGUGCCCAGAUGGGAUUAGCUAGUAGGGGGGGUAACGGCUCACCUAGGCGAGGAUCCCUAGCUGGUCUGAGAGGAUGCCCAGCCACACUGGAACUGAGACACGGUCCAGACGCCUACGGGAGGCAGCAGGGGGGAAUAUUGCACAAUGGGCGCAAGCCUGAUGCAGCCAUGCCGCGUGUGUGAAGAAGGCCUGCGGUUUGUAAAGCUCUGUCAGCGGGGAGGCGGUACCCGCAGAAGAAGCACCGGCUAACUCCGUGCCAGCAGCCGCGGUAAUAC